AUUGAACGCUGGCGGCAGGCUUAACACAUGCAAGUCGAGCGGAGUGAUGGUGCUUGCACUAUCACUUAGCGGCGGACGGGUGAGUAAUGCUUAGGAAUCUGCCAUUUAGUGGGGGACAACAUUCCGAAAGGAAUGCUAAUACCGCAUACGUCCUACGGGAGAAAGCAGGGGAUCUUCGGACCUUGCGCUAAAUGAUGAGCCUAAGUCGGAUUAGCUAGUUGGUGGGGUAAAGGCCUACCAAGGCGACGAUCUGUAGCGGGUCUGAGAGGAUGAUCCACCACACUGGGACUGGAACACGGCCCAGACUCCUACGGGAGGCAGCAGUGGGGAAUAUUGGACAAUGGGCGGAAGCCUGAUCCAGCCAUGCCGCGUGUGUGAAGAAGGCCUUUUGGUUGUAAAGCACUUUAAGCGAGGAGGAGGCUACUAGUACUAAUACUACUGGAUAGUGGACGUUACUCGCAGAAUAAGCACCGGCUAACUCUGUGCCAGCCGCCGCGGUAAAAC
rnacentral:rRNA from 1 species